rnacentral:lncRNA from 1 species
AUGGAAGGGAGGCGAAUUGUCUGCAAGAUGUGCAGGACAGGAUUAUUUGCAUUUCAAUGUGUUUUGUGUAACAUUACCAUUUUAGUAGCUAGCGUUUCUGCAAAGGACAGCUCACAAGUUUACGGUUUGAAUGAGCCACUGCUGCCAUAUCCAGGUGUACCAGUACUUCCUCUGCGCAAGAAGGGCUUUCUGCACAUCGUCACAGUCAUAGAAAGUAGAGGCAUCCCCUCCCAGUUUCCAGUUAAAAAAAGCAAAAUGGAAGAUCUGGAGAAAAAGACAAAAAUCAUAAAAUAUUCUGCUUGGUUUCUCCCCAUCAGUGUUUUCAAAUUAGAAUACAUAGGAUGGAAAUUUUCAUUAGUCGCAGUGUCUGGAGAAAUUGUUUGUAAUAAAUCCUCCAAACUGGAAAAACAAAACCCAUAAACAAGCAGAAGCCAUUUCACACCAAUAAAAUCCCAUCUGUACAAAGAGCUGGGCCUAUG